UCCAUCAGGCCUCUGCUCCCUCAAGCUUGCAACUUGAUAUGAUAAAAUUCACUACUAAUGA
rnacentral:tRNA from 1 species